UUGCACGCUGGCGGCAUGCCUUACCCCUGCCAGUCGCACGGCAGCGCGGACUUCGGUCUGGCGGCGAGUGGCGAACGGGUGAGUAAUACAUCGGAACGUACCCUGUUGUGGGGGAUAACUAGUCGAAAGAUUAGCUAAUACCGCAUACGACCUGAGGGUGAAAGUGGGGGACCGGAAACGGCCUCAUGCAGCAGGCGCGGCCGAUGUCUGAUUAGCUAGUUGGUGGGGUAAAGGCCCACCAAGGCGACGAUCAGUAGCUGGUCUGAGAGGACGAUCAGCCACACUGGGACUGAGACACGGCCCAGACUCCUACGGGAGGCAGCAGUGGGGAAUUUUGGACAAUGGGGGCAACCCUGAUCCAGCAAUGCCGCGUGUGUGAAGAAGGCCUUCGGGUUGUAAAGCACUUUUGUCCGGAAAGAAAUCGCGCUGGUUAAUACCUGGCGUGGAUGACGGUACCGGAAGAAUAAGCACCGGCUAACUACGUG
rnacentral:rRNA from 1 species